rnacentral:rRNA from 1 species
GGACUACCCGCUGAACUUAAGCAUAUCAAUAAGCGGAGGAAAAGAAACUAACAAGGAUUCCCCUAGUAACUGCGAGUGAAGCGGGAAAAGCUCAAAUUUAAAAUCUGGCAGUCUUUGGCUGUCCGAGUUGUAGUCUGGAGAAGCGUCUUCCGCGCUGGACCGUGUACAAGUCUCCUGGAACGGAGCGUCAUAGAGGGUGAGAAUCCCGUCUUUGACACGGACUACCAGUGCUUUGUGAUGCGCUCUCAAAGAGUCGAGUUGUUUGGGAAUGCAGCUCAAAAUGGGUGGUAAACUCCAUCUAAAGCUAAAUAUUGGCGAGAGACCGAUAGCGAACAAGUACCGUGAGGGAAAGAUGAAAAGCACUUUGGAAAGAGAGUUAAACAGUACGUGAAAUUGCUGAAAGGGAAACGCUUGAAGUCAGUCGCGUCCGCUAGAACUCAGCCUGGCUUUCGCUUGGUGCAUUUUCUAGUGGACGGGCCAGCAUCACUUUUGGCUGCGGGAUAAAGGUCGCAGGAAUGUGGCACCUUCGGGUGUGUUAUAGCCUGUGAUUGUAUACCGUGGCUGGGAGUGAGGACCGCAGCACGCCUUCAUGGCGGGGGUUCGCCCACCUUCGUGCUU